UACGUAGGGGGCAAGCGUUGUCCGGAAUCAUUGGGUGUAAAGCGCGCGUAGGCGGCUUUGCAAGGCGGGUGUGAAAUCCCCAGGCUUAACCUGGGAACUGCAUUCGAGACUGCAUUGCUAGAGUAUGGGAGAGGGAAGUGGAAUUUCCGGUGUAGCGGUGAAAUGCGUAGAUAUCGGAAGGAACAUCAGUGGCGAAAGCGACUUCCUGGACCAAUACUGACGCUCAUGUGCGAAAGCGUGGGGAGCAAACAGG
rnacentral:rRNA from 1 species